rnacentral:rRNA from 1 species
AGAGUUUGAUCAUGGCUCAGGACGAACGCUGGCGGCGUGCCUAAUGCAUGCAAGUCGAGCGAGCUACAGUCUUCGGACUGUAGCUUAGCGGCGAACGGGUGAGUAACACGUAGGUGAUCUACCCUUCAGAGGAGGACAACCUCAGGAAACUGAGGCUAAACCUUCAUACGUUCACUGGUAGGGAUACUGGUGAAGAAAGAGUUACCGUCAAGGUAGCUGCUGAAGGAUGAGCCUGCGGCCCAUCAGGUAGUUGGUGAGGUAACGGCUCACCAAGCCGAAGACGGGUAACCGGUCUGAGAGGAUGUCCGGUCACACUGGGACUGAGACACGGCCCAUACUCCUACGGGAGGCAGCAGCAGGGAAUCUUGGGCAAUGGGCGAAAGCCUGACCCAGCGACGCCGCGUGGAGGAAGAAGUCCUUCGGGGCGUAAACUCCUGGACUGGGGGACGAGGAAGGACGGUACCCCAGUAGAAAGGGACGGCUAACUACGUGCCAGCAGCCGCGGUAAAACGUAGGUCCCGAGCGUUGUUCGGAUUCACUGGGUGUAAAGGGCGCGUAGGUGGUUGUCUGUGUCUCAUGUGAAAACUCAGGGCUCAACUCUGAGAUUGCGUGGGAAACUAGGCAGCUAGAGGACGGUAGAGGGGAGUGGAAUUCCCGGUGUAGCGGUAAAAUGCGUAGAUAUCGGGAGGAACACCGGUGGCGAAGGCGGCUCUCUGGGCCGAUCCUGACGCUGAGGCGCGAAAGCUAGGGGAGCGAACCGGAUUAGAUACCCGGGUAGUCCUAGCCGUAAACGAUGGGUGCUAGGUGUUGGGGGGUAAAGACCCUUCAGUGCCGAAGCCAACGCGAUAAGCAUCCCACCUGGGGAGUACGGCCGCAAGGUUGAAACUCAAAUGAAUUGACGG